rfam:Staphylococcus capitis strain CR03 genome assembly, contig: BN1517_Contig_11
CUACUUCAGCUUGUUCCGGAUUGAUAAAGUGUACGUGUGUAUCUAUACCUCCGGCUGUAACGAUUUUACCUUCUGCAGCGAUAAUGUCAGUGUUUGAACCAAUAAUAAUAUCUACAUUAUCCAUAAUAUCAGGAUUGCCUGCUUUACCAAUUUUGAAAAUGUAGCCAUUUUUAACGCCAAUAUCUGCUUUGACAACUUUGUCAUAAUCGAUAAUUAGGGCAUUCGUUAAUACAAGAUCUGCUACGUUUCUAUCAUCUCGGGUUACAUUCGGAUUUUGCGCCAUGCCAUCGCGAAUUG